AACGAACGCUGGCGGCAGGCCUAACACAUGCAAGUCGAACGAGACCUUCGGUGCUAGUGGCGCACGGGUGCGUAACGCGUGGGAACGUACCCUUAGGUUCGGAAUAACGCCCCGAAACGAGUGCUAAUACCGGAUAAGCUCUUCGGACGAAAGGUUUAUCGCCGUUGGAUUGGCCCGCGUUUGAUUAGCUAGUUGGUAGGGUAAAAGCCUACCAAGGCGACGAUCCAUAGCUGGUCUGAGAGGAUGAUCAGCCACACUGGGACUGAGACACGGCCCAGACUCCUACGGGAGGCAGCCGGUGGGAAUAUUGGACCAUGGGCGACAGGCUGAUCCAGCCAUGGCGGGUGAGUGAAGAAGGCCUUAGGGUUGUAAAGCCUCUUUACCCCGGAUGAUAAUGAACGUACCGGGAGAAUAAGGCCCGGGCAGAUCCGUG
rnacentral:rRNA from 1 species